CGAGACUUUCAGUGGAGGCCCAUCGCCUACCGAAAUAAAAUCUGAGACUAAAUUAAUUACUAAAAAUUAUUUACUGAAAUAAUUGAUUAAGAAUCUAUCCAUAGAUGUACAUGGGUGAGCCAGCCAAAGUCGGGCUCAUGUGCAACUGUGUGAAUUCUAGUAUCUGAUGCGGGACAACCCUAAAGAAGAGAGAAAAAGAAAAUCAAUCCUAAUGAUCAAGCUUUCUUCUGUUCAUCAACAAUAAAUCACAUCCAGUC
rnacentral:lncRNA from 1 species